rnacentral:lncRNA from 1 species
AAAAAAAAAGAUCUUCAUACUUGUGUGUUUUUGUGUUGUGGACCCUCCUACUCGUUCAUUUGUCAAUUGAAUCCUUAAACUCAAUAAAACUUAAAUUUUAAACCUAUGGACCACUGACUGAGCUUAUGUGAUAUUAAGAUGACUGAAUUGGACAUAGUGCGUGAAUAUAUGCGUUUAGGAGCAAGGGAACACCAUAUUUAUAUUAACAUUAUAAAAAAAAAUUGUUCUUUUCUCACCUUCUCCUACAACCCCCAACCCCCCCC